GUUGUGGGCCAAAUUUGUCCUGCAGGCUAUAGUUUGGCAACAUGUCUUGGACUGGAGAAAUGUUUGACUGGAGCCAGUAAAGAAGCAGAUUUGUUGACCUCAAGAAUGCAGAAUCCUGAUACACUAUCAGCAAUGUCAAACCCUAGAGCAAUGCAGGCCUUGUACAGAUUCAGCAGGGUUUACAAACGUUAGCAACCGAAGCUCCCAACCUCAUCCCAGGGUUUACUCCUGGCCUGGGAGCAAUAGGAAACACUGGAGGCUCUUCAGAAACCAACGGGUCUAGCACUACACCCAGUGAAAACACAAGCCCCACAACAGGAACCACUGAACCUGGGCACCAGCAGUUUAUUCAGCAGGUGCUGCAGCCUCUUGCUGGAGUAAAUCCUCAGCUACAGAACCCAGAAGUCAGAUUUCAGCAACAACUGGAACAACUCAGUGCAAUGGGAUUUCUGAACCGGGAAGCCAGCUUGCAGGCGCUAAUAGCAACAGGAGGUGAUAUCAAUGCAGCUAUCGAAAGGUUACUGGGCUCCCAGCCAUCUUGGCAGCAUUUCUGUAUCUUGAAAAAAUGUAAUUUAUUUUUGAUAACGGCUCUUAAAUCUUUAAAAUACCCGCUUUAUUUUAUUUUGGCUCUUGGAAUUCUGUGCUGUUAAAAACAAACCCAAUAUGAUGCAUUUUAAGGUGGUGUUCAGUAAGAUGUGUGGGUUUUUCUGUGUUUUUCUUUUUUGGAACAGUGGGAAUCAAUGCUUUUUCACUUAAGGCUACUGCAUGCAUAAACACUUCUGCAUUUAUUGUCAUUUUUAAAAACAUCACCUUUUGUAGUUGGAUGAACAGAUUCUGUUCUGCAUCUGUCCGGUUUAUUUGCUUUUUAAAACAUUAACCUAUGGUAGUAAUUUAUGUAGAAUAAAGUGUUAAAAAGCCAA